CUCUCCACAGUCGUUAUGACCCUUUGCAGAGCCUUCCUCUCUGCCUGUGUAGUGUUCCCAUACCAGACAGUGAUGCUUGUGGUGCAGCUCCGAAGCCGUUUGUUGGGAUCCUGAACAUCACAGAGUACAGGGUGCAGCUGAGGUGUGAGGUCAGAGGUGUGUCUCCGAAGCCUAGAGUAGAGUGGAGGGACAGCGAUGGAAACAUCCUUCGUGCUGAGGAGCCACAGGUGUCACACAGAGACGGCCGCUAUGACAUCACCCUCCUCACCACGGUGACCAGGACAAACACCAACCUCUUCCACUGCGUGGCCACACAGGAGGAGAUCGGCCAUGUGACUGAAGAAGAGAUCCUUGUUCCAGAUCAGCUGUUCGAGUCCUGCGAUGGAGUCGCUGUGAUCGUUUCUGUAUUGGCUUCUGGAUUCUCUGUCACUAUAUUUGCGUCUCUGUUGCUGUUCUCAGCUUGUAUUAAAUGUUGUUGAUAACAGACAGCAGAUACUUUCAUCUGUCCUUUUUAUUCUCUGCUGUUCUGUUUCCUCUGGUUUUACGGCUGAUGUGUUAUUUAUACCAACAUUGUAUUUAUGAAAAAUAAAGUUGGGUAAAUGAUGACUCAG
ensembl:lncRNA